rnacentral:tRNA from 1 species
GGGCAAGUAGUUCAGUGGUAGAAUACUUGCUUAGCAUGUAUGAGGCCCUGAGUUCAAUCUCAGUAUCACCA